rnacentral:rRNA from 1 species
AUGCUUCUGGAUGACGUCCAUCUUGAUGAGCAUCGGGAGGACGACAUCACCUAGAAGCAUUCCAAUGAUGGGAUGUACUCGGCAGCCAGUGCUUAUAAAGCUCAAUUUCUUGGGUUAACCUUGUCACCAAUGGAUCGCAUGGUCUGGAAAGUUUGGGCUCCUCCGAAGAUCAAAUUCUUUGCUUGGUUGACUAUUCAAGAUAGGAUCUGGACUGCGGACCGCCUGGAGAGGCAUGGGUGGGCCAACUGCGGUCUGUGUCCUCUUUGCUCUAGGGAGCAGGAAACAUGUGCUCAUCUUCUCUUCAAGUGCCGCUUCACUAUUCGGCUUUGGAGGUCUCUCGCGGCCAAGCUUGGUCUUCAUCACAUUGACACCUCCAGGUGGCAUCUUCAUGGCUCCGUCCUGGAUUGGUGGGAGGAUGGUACUGGGAGCCACGUCCCCAACAGGAGUGCCUUGGCUCUCCUGGACCAUCUGGAAUGA